CUAUACAUGACUCUGCGCAUAUCAAUAAGCGGAGGAAAAGAGGGCUAUUACCUACGCUUAGGAUGUUGACGAGACUGUCGAUCUCAUCUAUACAUGACUCUGUGCAUAUCAAUAAGCGGAGGAAAAGGCACGUACCUACGCUUAGGAUGUUGACGAGACUGUCGAUCUCAUCUAUACAUGACUCUGCGCAUAUCAAUAAGCGGAGGAAAGGAGGGCUAUUACCUACGCUUAGGAUGUUGACGAGACUGUCGAUCUCAUCUAUACAUGACUCUGCGCAUAUCAAUAAGCGGAGGAAAAGAGGGCUAUUACCUACGCUUAGGAUGUUGACGAGACUGUCGAUCUCAUCUAUACAUGACUCUGCGCAUAUCAAUAAGCGGAGGAAAAGAAACUAACAAGGAUUCCCUCAGUAACGGCGAGUGAAGCGGGAAGAGCUCAAAUUUGAAAUCUUCAAGGUUCUACCUUGACGAAUUGUAGUUUAAAGAAGUGUUUUCUGUUGGAGUUUUGGUAAAAGUUCUUUGGAAUAGGACAUCAUAGAGGGUGAGAAUCCCGUAUUUGACCAUUAUUUUCAGCUGUGUGAUACACUUUCAAAGAGUCGGAUUGUUUGGGAAUGCAGUCCAAAAUGGGUGGUAAAUUUCAUCUAAAGCUAAAUAUUGGCGAGAGACCGAUAGCGAACAAGUACCGUGAGGGAAAGAUGAAAAGAACUUUGAAAGAGAGUUAAACAGUACGUGAAAUUGUCAAAAGGGAAGCGUUUGACACCAGUGUUGUUUUCUCGAAAAUCAAUUAAAAAAGGCCGGAUUUUGUGUUGUAUUGACCUUAAAAGCUUUCUUCACUCUUUUCUUGUCUUUUUUAAUGCACUUUUCGUUUAACAAGUCAACAUCAGUUUCUUUUGUUGUAAAAGGGUCAUUGGAAGGUGGCUUUCUUUUCGGAGAAAGUGUUUAUAGCCUUGUGCCUCCGCAAUCGGAGAGAUUGAGGUCUGCAGCGUAGAUCCUUCGGGGUUAGAUACAUUUGUGCUAAGUUAUAGCCUUUCAUAGACAACUUGUUGACUAUGUUUAGUCUUGUAGCUUACUCGCUGACGCUAUUUUACCUACGCUUAGGAUGUUGACGAGACUGUCGAUCUC
rnacentral:rRNA from 1 species